rnacentral:rRNA from 1 species
UAUUAUACUAAUAAAUAUUAUUAACCUGAAUUAUUAAUAGAUAUUUUCUUUAAAUUUGAAGAAUUUGGCGGUGAUUUAGUCUUGUUAGAGGAACCUGUUUUUGAAUCGAUACACCACGUGGAAUCUUACUCAUUUUAUUUAGUUUAUAUACCGUCAUUAUCAGAUAAUUUUUAAAAAAUUAAUUAUUAUAGUUUAAAGGAAGUUAAAUUAAAUUAGAUCAAGGUGUAGCUUAUAAAUGAGUUAAAAUGGGUUACAAUAAAAUUUAUUUAUUACGGAGUAAUUAAAGAAAUAAUAUUAUAAAGGAGGAUUUAAUUGUAAUACAAGUUCAAUAAGCUUGAAAG